UUUUUUUUUUAAAAGUAUAAUACUUUUAGCAAAUGUCACUUAUUUCCAAACUAGCAGUUUAUGGCUUGGUUCUUGCAACAGGUUUAUCUCUGGUACCAAUUUACUUUGUGCCAAAAGCUGUUCCAGAAAAAUAUAGAGACAUUCAAAAAGUUUCAAGGAAAGAUAUUGUUCAAUCAGAAGUACAACCUGGAAAUAUGAAGAUUUGGUCAGAUCCAUUUGAUCGUAAAAAAUAAGUUUAACUUGUUAAACAAUCUUAUUGUUUUUAUGGAGAUAAGAACAGCAAAGAAUUCAAAUCUA